GCCGGGUGCGGUGGUGCACAUUUGUAAUCCCAGUGGCUCUGGAGGCUGAGACAGGAGGAUUGCAAGUUCAAAGCCAGCCUCAGCAAAAGUGAGGUGCUAAGCAACUCAGUGAGACCCUGUCUCUG
rnacentral:sRNA from 1 species